GACCAAUUAGCACAGUUGGCCAGAACAUGGUGCUAAUGAGGCCAAGGUCAGAGGUUCAAUUCCCUCAUGGGCUG